rnacentral:rRNA from 1 species
UACGAAGGGGGCUAGCGUUGCUCGGAAUCACUGGGCGUAAAGCGCACGUAGGCGGCUUUCUAAGUCAGGGGUGAAAUCCUGGAGCUCAACUCCAGAACUGCCUUUGAUACUGGAGAGCUUGAGUCCGGAAGAGGUGAGUGGAACUCCGAGUGUAGAGGUGAAAUUCGUAGAUAUUCGCAAGAACACCAGUGGCGAAGGCGGCUCACUGGCCCGGUACUGACGCUGAGACACGAAAGCGUG